rnacentral:rRNA from 1 species
GGGUGAGUAACACGUAUGGAACCUGCCCGUAGCAGGGGGAUAAGCGGAAGAAAUUCCGUCUAAUACCGCGUAAUAACUCCGAGAGGCAUCUCAUGGAGUUUAAAGGGUAACACCGGCUACGGAUGGCCAUGCGGCGCAUUAGCUAGUUGGCGGGGUAACGGCCCACCAAGGCGACGAUGCGUAGGGGUUCUGAGAGGAAGGUCCCCCACACUGGUACUGAGACACGGACCAGACUCCUACGGGAGGCAGCAGUGAGGAAUAUUGGUCAAUGGGCGCGAGCCUGAACCAGCCAAGUCGCGUGAGGGAAGACGGUCCUAUGGAUUGUAAACCUCUUUUGUCGGGGAGCAAAAGACGUCACGUGUGGCGUUCCGAGAGUACCCGAAGAAAAAGCAUCGGCUAACUCCGUGCCAGCAGCCGCGGUAAUACGGAGGAUGCGAGCGUUAUCCGGAUUUAUUGGGUUUAAAGGGUGCGCAGGCGGAAGAUCAAGUCAGCGGUAAAAUUGAGGGGCUCAACCUCUUCGAGCCGUUGAAACUGGUUUUCUUGAGUGAGCGAGAAGUAUGCGGAAUGCGUGGUGUAGCGGUGAAAUGCAUAGAUAUCACGCAGAACUCCGAUUGCGAAGGCAGCAUACCGGCGCUCAACUGACGCUCAUGCACGAAAGUGUGGGUAUCGAACAGGAUUAGAUACCCUGGUAGUCCACACAGUAAACGAU